AUAUACCUAACCCUAAUCCCCAAUUCGUCCCCCCUGCAAGUCACCCUCAAAUACGCAAUUGUUAGUUUGUUACCACCAUCACCACCAUAAACAACCUUCCCUCUUCUCCCUCACCACCACUCUAGCCACUGCCACCCGGCCACCGCCACCCAACCCCAACUACCACCCGCCGUCCGCCACCCAUCCCUCCAGUCUUAGAUCUGUUACUAUGUAAACCCACAUAAUUUUACAAAACAAACCCACAAAAAUUUUACAUUACUUGAACAAAAGAUUGAUACUUUGAGAUCAUACUCAACGAUAUAUGCAUCUAAACACGAAACCAGCAGUUUAAUUGCUCCGGAUUUGACGAUUUGACUCAAUUCUCCAGUUCGUACUUCGAGAAAUCAACGGUUUAGACUCGUUUUUGCAGAUCGGAAUUCCAGAUCGACGGUUUUUGCAUAUCGAGAAAUCAACGGUUUAGACCAGCUUGCUCUGAACCGACAGAACUGGCCGAUUUGCAGAUCGGGUACUGGCCAAGUUGUAGAUCUGGAUUAGCUUGCUCAGAUUCCAGACCGGGAUUAGCUUGCAGCGUUUUAGUUAGCUAUGCGUGAAGACUGAUGAGGAACACCAUGUGUGUGGAAAUUUGUCGGUUCGGGUCUCAGCUAAUAGUUCAGCUGGAAAUUUGACUGGUGGCUUGAAGCACUGCAACAUUGGUUUGUGAUUGAUUAAAGGGUUUUUAGGUAAUUUAUAGGGUUUUUAGGUAAUUUAUGAUGCUUUUAAUUUACUGUUCGAGAGGAGAUUUAGUGGGUUAGCUGUAGUUUUCCCUUUGAUUUUCACAUCAGAUAUGUAGUUGUUAAAGUGCAUAGCUCGUGGGCUGAUUUUCGUGACUAUUUUAAGCAACAGGGAGAAAAGGUUGCUCGCAUUUACCAUAAGGGGGGCAAACAUACAUUUUGAUUUUUCAUACAAGAGAGGAGAGUGGCUCGUGUUUGGGCCCGAAACCAGUGAGCUACCACCCGAGGCUUUGAAUGAGUGCAAAAAUGAGCCGUUUGGUGGUAGGACGCUUAAAAUUCCAAAGGUUGAAGUCGUGGAGGCGGGUUUCUCUUCUUUGGAGACGAUAUAUAUUAUCCUUCACGUGUUGUAUCAACUCCUACGUCACAAGCUUAUAGAAAACACUACUCACCAGGGUAUGGAGAAGUCAUUUAUGGUGGAAAACCAACUAGGCUUAAGAAUCUACUUGUAAUAUUUGACGGUGGAAGUUCAUUUACAUACCUAAGUUCACAGGCUUAUGAAGGCUUACUUUAUUUGUCGGGUAACAGGUUGGAGAUUAUUCCGAACACAACUCAGACUUAUUCGUGUCAAAACAUCAACUCUGUCUCACACAGACUUAAAAUCAUUAACUCGAACACCAAGUGUGUAGCCCAUUUAUCUAAACGAGUUGAGUACGUUAGUGGAUUUUCGAGUUGUAUUCAAAUUCCAACUCAUCCUCAAACAAUGGCGGAGCAUUUACCAUCGCUUUUCGGCACAGAAAAGUAUCAAGUGAAUUGGGUCUAAUGUUCAAACUGCCUUACUUGUGUCAAAAGAUGGUCAACGGGGAUUCACAUUCCUUAAGUACAAGUGGUAACAAAGAUGUUUAAUUCCUAAGGUGUAUAUAUAACCGAUAUUUGUCUUUUUCUUGAUGUUUUUGUACACGGCUUCUAAAAAAACUUUGUUACCAUUUUAUGUAAUGUCAUUUGAUUUGCAUUACUUUAACGACACACUUAUCGAAUGAUAAAGCUUGCAUAGGUAGUGUUUAGUAGCAUCUUGAGUUAAACUGAAGCAAAUUUUGUAUAACAUUUUAUUUUUAUUUUGUGGGACCUUAGUAAAAGAUAAAGUGGCAUAACUGAACACAUCAUAAGAUGGGUUUAUUCAUUUCCUACUCUUAAGCUAUGACCAG
rnacentral:lncRNA from 1 species